GUGAACGCUGGCGGUAGGCCUAACACAUGCAAGUCGAACGGCAGCACCGUAAGAGCUUGCUCUUACGGGUGGCGAGUGGCGGACGGGUGAGGAAUACCUCGGAAUCUACUUUUUCGUGGGGGAUAACGUAGGGAAACUUACGCUAAUACCGCAUACGACCUACGGGUGAAAGCAGGGGGUCUUCGGACCUUGCGCGAUUGAAUUAGCCGAUGUCGGAUUAGCUAGUUGGCGGGGUAAAGGCCCACCAAGGCGACGAUCCGUAGCUGGUCUGAGAGGAUGAUCAGCCACACUGGAACUGAGACACGGUCCAGACUCCUACGGGAGGCAGCAGUGGGGAAUAUUGGACAAUGGGCGCAAGCCUGAUCCAGCCAUACCGCGUGGGUGAAGAAGGCCUUCGGGUUGUAAAGCCCUUUUGUUGGGAAAGAAAAGCAGCAGGUUAAUACCCCGCUGUUCUGACGGUACCCAAAGAAUAAGCACCGGCUAACUUCGUG
rnacentral:rRNA from 1 species